GCCGGGCAUGGUGGCGCAUGCCUGUAAUCCCAGCUACUCAGGAGGCUGAGGCAGGAGAAUCACUUGAACCCAGGAGAGAGAGGUUGCAGUGGGCCUAGAUUGAGCCACUACACUCCAGCCUGGGCAACAGAGCAAGACCCUGUCUCAA
ensembl:misc_RNA Metazoa_SRP Metazoan signal recognition particle RNA